GAUGAACGCUAUCUACAGGCUUAACACAUGCAAGUCGAGGGGCAGCAUGGUCUUAGCUUGCUAAGGCCGAUGGCGACCGGCGCACGGGUGAGUAACACGUAUCCAACCUGCCGUCUACUCCUGGACAGCCUUCUGAAAGGAAGAUUAAUACAAGAUGGCAUCAUGAGUCCGCAUGUUCACAUGAUUAAAGGUAUUCCGGUAGACGAUGGGGAUGCGUUCCAUUAGAUAGUAGGCGGGGUAACGGCCCACCUAGUCUUCGAUGGAUAGGGGUUCUGAGAGGAAGGUCCCCCACAUUGGAACUGAGACACGGUCCAAACUCCUACGGGAGGCAGCAGUGAGGAAUAUUGGUCAAUGGGCGAGAGCCUGAACCAGCCAAGUAGCGUGAAGGAUGACUGCCCUAUGGGUUGUAAACUUCUUUUAUAAAGGAAUAAAGUCGGGUAUGGAUACCCGUUUGCAUGUACUUUAUGAAUAAGGAUCGGCUAACUCCGUGCCAGCAGCCGCGGUAAUACGGAGGAUCCGAGCGUUAUCCGGAUUUAUUGGGUUUAAAGGGAGCGUAGAUGGAUGUUUAAGUCAGUUGUGAAAGUUUGCGGCUCAACCGUAAAAUUGCAGUUGAUACUGGAUAUCUUGAGUGCAGUUGAGGCAGGCGGAAUUCGUGGUGUAGCGGUGAAAUGCUUAGAUAUCACGAAGAACUCCGAUUGCGAAGGCAGCCUGCUAAGCUGCAACUGACAUUGAGGCUCGAAAGUGUGGGUAUCAAACAGGAUUAGAUACCCUGGUAGUCCACACGGUAAACGAUGAAUACUCGCUGUUUGCGAUAUACUGCAAGCGGCCAAGCGAAAGCGUUAAGUAUUCCACCUGGGGAGUACGCCGGCAACGGUGAAACUCAAAGGAAUUGACGGGGGCCCGCACAAGCGGAGGAACAUGUGGUUUAAUUCGAUGAUACGCGAGGAACCUUACCCGGGCUUAAAUUGCAGAUGAAUUACGGUGAAAGCCGUAAGCCGCAAGGCAUCUGUGAAGGUGCUGCAUGGUUGUCGUCAGCUCGUGCCGUGAGGUGUCGGCUUAAGUGCCAUAACGAGCGCAACCCUUGUUGUCAGUUACUAACAGGUUCCGCUGAGGACUCUGACAAGACUGCCAUCGUAAGAUGUGAGGAAGGUGGGGAUGACGUCAAAUCAGCACGGCCCUUACGUCCGGGGCUACACACGUGUUACAAUGGGGGGUACAGAGGGCCGCUACCACGCGAGUGGAUGCCAAUCCCCAAAACCUCUCUCAGUUCGGACUGGAGUCUGCAACCCGACUCCACGAAGCUGGAUUCGCUAGUAAUCGCGCAUCAGCCACGGCGCGGUGAAUACGUUCCCGGGCCUUGUACACACCGCCCGUCAAGCCAUGGGAGCCGGGGGUACCUGAAGUGCGUAACCGCGAGGAGCGCCCUAGGGUAAAACUGGUGACUGGGGCUAAGUCG
rnacentral:rRNA from 1 species